rnacentral:rRNA from 1 species
GACGAACGCUGGCGGCGUGCUUAACACAUGCAAGUCGAACGGUAAGGCCCUUCGGGGUACACGAGUGGCGAACGGGUGAGUAACACGUGGGUGAUCUGCCCUGCACUUCGGGAGAAGCCGGGGAAACUGGGUCUAAUACCGGAGAGGACCACUGCCUGCAGGGGUGGUGGUGGAAAGAUUUUGCGGUGUGGGAUGGGCCCGCGGCCUAUCAGCUUGUUGGUGGGGUGAUGGCCUACCAAGGCGACGACGGGUAGCCGGCCUGAGAGGGUGAUCGGCCACACUGGGACUGAGAUACGGCCCAGACUCCUACGGGAGGCAGCAGUGGGGAAUAUUGCACAAUGGGCGCAAGCCUGAUGCAGCGACGCCGCGUAAGGGAUGACGGCCUUCGGGUUGUAAACCUCUUUCAGCACCGACGAAGCGCAAGUGACGGUAGGUGCAGAAGAAGGACCGGCCAACUACGUGCCAGCAGCCGCCGUAA